UGUUUUCAUUAAUCAAGAACGAAAGUUAGAGGUUCGAAGGCGAUCAGAUACCGCCCUAGUUCUAACCAUAAACGAUGCCAACCAGCGAUCCGCCUGAGUUCCUCAAAUGACUCGGCGGGCAGCUUCCGGGAAACCAAAGUGUUUGGGUUCCGGGGGAAGUAUGGUUGCAAAGCUGAAACUUAAAGGAAUUGACGGAAGGGCACCACCAGGAGUGGAGCCUGCGGCUUAAUUUGACUCAACACGGGAAAACUUACCCGGCCCGGACACUGGAAGGAUUGAC
rnacentral:rRNA from 1 species